rfam:Trichobilharzia regenti genome assembly, scaffold: TRE_scaffold0021238
GUACUGACGAAGAGUCCCAAACAGGGACGAAACAGCUGUCCAGUAC